GAUGAACGCUGGCGGCGUGCCUAACACAUGCAAGUCGAACGAUUAAAGCACGUUCGGGUGUGUCUAACGUGUCGCGCGGCUGUGUAACACGCGUGCGUACUGCCCCCUUCAUUGGGGUAGCAACGGGCAACCGUGGGGCAUAUAGAAUACUUCGUCUCUUCCGCCUGGAUGACUCGUGAAAGCUCCGGCGGUGCGGGAUGGGCCUGCGGCCUGUUAGCUUGUUGGUGGGGUAACGGCCUACCAAGGCAAUGAUGGGUAGCUGGGUUGAGAGGACGACCAGCCAGAUUGGGACUGAGACACGACCCAGACUGCUACGUGAGGCAGCAGUGGGGAGUCUUGCACACGGAGCGAACGCCAGAUGCAGCGACGCCGCGUGCGGGAUGAAGGCCUUCGGGUUGUAAACCACUUUCAGCAGGGACGAGGCGAAAGUGACGGUACCUGCAGAAGAAGCCCCGGCUAACUACGUG
rnacentral:rRNA from 1 species